rnacentral:rRNA from 1 species
GCAGUGGGGAAUAUUGGACAAUGGGGGAAACCCUGAUCCAGCAAUGCCGCGUGUGUGAAGAAGGCCUGCGGGUUGUAAAGCACUUUUGGUGGGGAAGAAAAGCCAGAGGCUAAUACCUUUUGGUCUUGACGUAACCCAAAGAAUAAGCUCCGGCUAACUCCGUGCCAGCAGCCGCGGUAAUACGGAGGGAGCAAGCGUUGUUCGGAAUUACUGGGCGUAAAGCGCGCGUAGGCGGCUUUGUAAGUUAGAGGUGAAAGCCCGGGGCUCAACCCCGGAAUUGCCUUUAAGACUGCAUCGCUAGAAUCCGGGAGAGGUGAGUGGAAUUCCGAGUGUAGAGGUGAAAUUCGUAGAUAUUCGGAAGAACACCAGUGGCGAAGGCGGCUCACUGGACCGGUAUUGACGCUGAGGUGCGAAAGCGUGGGGAGCAAACAGGAUUAGAUACCCGUGUAG